UGAGGAACGAGAUAAGAACUUCUACAGGAGAGAAGGAUGCAUGAGGCCAGACAGAAAAUUUUGCUGUUGAGAGGCACCAGCUUUCCCAGUGACUACUCUGGUGGACCCUGACAAGAGUAAGUCUGUAGUUUCAGAAACUCCACACUCUCUUCUGUUUGCCAUCUUUGUGAAUUUGUUCACGAGGAGACGGUUUUGGAGAUUUUUUUUUUUCAUGACUAGAUUCUGAGUAUUCUCUCAUCUUAAGGACAGUCCUGUCCUUAAAUCCACACAUCUGGAAAGCAGAAUUAGCUCCCAAGGAUGCUUGACGAGGAAAUAUGGAAACACAGGAGACCAUUUCACCAAGGCCAAAGCAGCUCCAGUUCCUCUUUUGUGGUCAUAUUUAUUACACAUGAAUGUAUUAAUACCAGGUAUUAUGUUAAAUAUUGGGGAUAAAAUUGUGGGCAAAGCAGAUAGGAGUCUUGUUUCAAAAAAGCAUAUGUUCUAGUAUGGGAAA
rnacentral:lncRNA from 1 species